rnacentral:rRNA from 1 species
AGUGAACGCUGGCGGUAGGCCUAACACAUGCAAGUCGAACGAGUGGCGGACGGGUGAGGAAUACAUCGGAAUCUACUCUGUCGUGGGGGAUAACGUAGGGAAACUUACGCUAAUACCGCAUACGAUUGAAUGAGCCGAUGGCGGAUUAGUCAGUUGGCGGGGUAAAGGCCCACCAAGGUGACGAUCCGUAGCUGGUCUGAGAGGAUGAUCAGCCAACCGGGAACUGAGACACGGUCCAGACUCCUACGGGAGGCAGCAAUGGGGAAUAUUGGACAAUGGGCGCAGGCCUAAUCCAGCCAUACCGCGUGGGUGAAGGAGGCCUUCGGGUUGUAAAGCCCUUUUGUUGGGAAAGCGGUACCCAGAGAAUAAGCAACGGCUAACUUCGUGCCAGCAGCCGCGGUAAUUC